UGGCUACAGCAACAAGCCCAGGACGGAACAAAGAAGAGCGGGAAAUAAUCAUUAACAUUACAAGUUAAAAGUGAAAUCACCUUUCCAAGGCGUACCGAGCUUUGGUAUCACACAGGGAAUGGCAACCUAACCGGGAAGGACCGGGGAGAUCGCUUCAUUCCUACUCUUCUGAGUCAGACAUAACCAACUAUCUCUCUCUACAAUGAAGGACCUCAAGGGAAGAAGUCCCUUGCGCUGUCAUUUCACGAUCCUCAGUAAUUUCUUGCAGCCAGCUAACUUUUAUUUUCUUUGCUACACUAAAUCCUGUCCGUUUGAUCCAGCAAAGGAGAAGGGCUGGCCCAUCGCCCGUAUGAUUAGACUGAGUUCUUCAAGGGCUGAGUCCCUGCUUUCUACAUUUGUACAUCCCCAGAACCCAGCCCAGCACCUGGCACAUGAGAAAGACUUAAUGGUCACUGAGAGAAUAAAUGUCCACAGAGGUAAAGAUUCCAACAGCUUCCCGUGGAUGCCUCGGUUCUUCAGACUCAUCAGGUUAGGUCACCACCUAGGAGAAGUCUCAAGAGCCAGCUGCUGCAGGCCUGGCCUUUACCCAGUUUCCUCUGCGGCAGGCGGCGCCGACAAUCUCCCCAACUCGCGACUCUCCCAGACUGCCCAGGGAGCAUGUAGGAGAUGAAAGCACUUCGGAAACCGAGUGCUACGGACCAAGAGAAGCAGGAAAAAUGGCAAAGCAAUGUACUCUGAAGAUUUCAAACAAGUUCUGAGAGAAUAAUGACCUUGGGAGAGGUACUACACUGGAUACUGGAAAUGCAAAGACGAAAGACACUGUCCCUGCUCUUAAUGAGUACUUUCUACCGAAACAGACAGACAAGAAAAUCAACGAUAGCCCUAUCAUACUAUGCAGAGAUCUGCGCAAAGUGCCAUGGGAGCAGAGGAGGAAGAUGGACUCAGACCGGGGAGAUUAGGGAAGACUUCCUAAAAAAGUCUUUUGUUCCAUCUGAGACUCCAUGGCACCUAGCACAGUGCCUGACAUAGGAAGUACCCCAGAAUAUGAAGAGAGGACUGAUGAGCACUUCACUGAUGACAGGAAGCCACUGAAGAAUAUUAAUCAAAAUAAACGUAAUCAACUCUACAGCUGAAACCAUUCUCUUAAACAUUGCUGACAGAAGUGUAAAUCAGUACAACCGCUUUGGCAAACGGUUUGGCAUCUUAUCCUCAAGCUGAACAUUCACACACCCCCUAAUCCAGGAAUUCUACAGGAGAAACUCUUGCUAUAUACAACAGGAGGCAUGUGUGAGAAAGUUCACAGCAGCACUAUUCAUAGUUAACGAAAGUCUGGAAGCAACCCAAAUGGCCAUUAUCAGAAGAGAAGAUGAAUGAACUAAAGUAUAUUCACAUGGUUCAAUACUACAUAGAAAUUAAUAAAAUACAAUGACAUGCAAUAAUAUGGAUGGAUCUUGACAAUAAGCUAUUAACAAAGUAUUCCCCCCAAAUUACAUACAGCACAAAAACCUUAUAAACUUAAAUACAAAUAUAUACACACACACACACAAAAUAUAGAACAUAUGGUAUCUGGAAUUACUUCUAAAUAAUCCACAGGUGGAGGAAAGUGGCCUGGAUAGAAAGGCGAUGUGUUGAUAAAUGUUGCAGCUGGCUGGCAGGUGCAAAGGGAUUCAUAUUUUUUUCUAUUUUUGCAUAAGUUUGAAAUAUUCCAUAAUAAAAAGUACUUUUUAAAAAUAUAUGUAAACACGAUAAAACUAUAAAAAAAGGGACACAGGGAAGGAUGAACCUAGGAAUCAGAAUGAUUGUUACCAUGGGUAGGGGCAGGCAGUGGGUGGAACUGGGGAUUGCUUAUUACAUCAUUAAAACAUAGUAAAUAACUAAGAGUGGGCCAUGAAUGGACCACUGCUGACAGGAUGUC